GAGAAACUAAAAUCCACUACACCAUUAAAAGUUACGUCAUGGAUUUUGGGACAUAGAGUUAUCUCUUUAACACUCGACAAAACCUAGACAAGCAAACCCUUUAAGACCUGCUCUCUCGAUCAGCACAACCCACCAAUCGUACAUAAAUAGUCGAACAAACCCUUUUAGACCAGCUCUCUCGAUCUGCACGACCCACCAGUCUCACGUAUCUAUUCCACAGCUAAAUCACUGUCCAGAAAGAGACCAAUAUCUAUUCCACGGCUAAACCACUAUCCAAGAAGAGACCCUUGAGAGCAAUUGAGAAUUUCUCUCAAAGGGGAAACCAUCCAAAAUAUUCAUGGGAACCGCUUCCCUAAAAAAUACCAGCCUCUUACUCUGCAGGAGGCACAUUGUGGUGUUUCUCUCCAUAAGAAGCUCUCCUUUCUGAAGGGGAGGCCUUGUCUCUCGUGC
rnacentral:lncRNA from 1 species